GCGGAGGAAAAGAAACUAACCAGGAUUCCCCUAGUAGCGGCGAGCGAAGCGGGAAGAGCCCAAAAUGAAAAGCCUGAAUUCAGGCGUUGUAGUUGAGCGUUCUUGGGGUGUCAGUGUGGGUAAGUUGCAUGAAACUGCACGCCGUGGAGGGUGAUAGCCCCGUCCAGCCUACACAGGACACCUCGUACGAGAGCGUUUCGAACGAGUCGGGUAGCUUGGGAAUGCUGCUCUAAUUGGUGGUAAAUCUCAUCAAAGGCUAAAUAACGGCUGGAGACCGAUAGCAAACAAGUACCGUGAGGGAAAGAUGAAAAGCACUUUGAAAAGAGGGUGAAAAGAACCUGAAACCGUCACGGGGGAAGCGGAUCGCGUUGGCCUGGUGGGCGCUUGUGUGUUCAGCCUUUUUGGGUGCAUUGGCACAAGUGCUUAUCCGUCGUGGGUUUCCGGGGAUUGACAAUGAAUCGCCGGGGGCUGAGGGCUCCCUUCGGGUGAGGACGACGGAGCGACGACGCGAUACGACCCGUCUUGAAACACGGACCAAGGAGUCUAGCGCGGGUGCGAGUCGGAGGGUGCAAGCCCGUGGGCGUAGUGAAAGCGAGUGUAAAAACGAGCAGUUUGAGGCGGCAUAAGAUCGUUGAUCUUAAGACCGACCUAGAGCAGUUGCGCUGGGACCCGAAAGAUGGUGAACUAUGCCGGAGUAGGGCAAAGCCAGAGGAAACUCUGGUGGAGGCUCGUAGCGGUGCUGACGUGCAAAUCGCUCGUCCAACUUGGGUAUAGGGGCGAAAGACUAAUCGAACCAUCUAGUAGCUGGUUCCCUCCGAAGUUUCUCUCAGGAUAGCGGGCCGACACGGUUGUUUUGUGCGGUAAAGCGAAUGAUUAGCGUAAUUGGGGACAUCUAGUCUUCGGGCGAUUCUCAAACUUUAAAUGCGCAAGGGUGUCGCUGCUUUGUUGAGCGGCACCGGUAAAAACGUCGGCCCUGUGGGCCACUUUUGGUAAGCAGAACUGGCGAUACGGGAUGAACCGUAAGCAUGGUUAAGGCGCCAAACUGCCCGCUUAUAGAUCCCACAAAAGGUGUUGAUUCAUCGAGACAGCAGGACGGUGGCCAUGGAAGUCGGAAUCCGCCAAGGAGUGUGUAACAACUCACCUGCCGAAUGAAUUAGCCCUGAAAAUGGAUGGCGCUGAAGCGGGCGGCCGACACCAUGCCGUCUGGAAAAGAAUUUCAGAUGAGUAGGAGGGCGUGGGGGCCGUGUCGAAGCGUGCGUGCAGACGCGCGUGGAACGGCCUCUAGUGCAGAUCUUGGUGGUAGUAGCAAGUAUUCAAGCGAGAUCCUUGAAGGGCGAAGCGGGGAAGGGUUCCACGCGAACAUUGAUUGGGCGUGGGUGAGUCGUUCCUAAGCCGAGUGGCGAUUGCUAAGUAGCGGCGAAAGGGAAGCGGGUUGACAUUCCCGCACACGGAUGUGGAGGCGGUGACGCAUUAUUGGGGCGAACACGCUGGCGACGGCGCUGGGCAGAGUUGUCUUUUCUGUUUAACCGCAUGUGCGCGCGGUGUGGAAUCCGCUUGUCGGGAGAAACACGCGUGCACGGGCAGAGCGCCGGGGCUUUUCCGGCGUCCAGCUCGCCGUCGACGGCCCUUGAAAAUUUGCCUGCUGAUUUAGAUCCACGCCGUGGCGUACCGAUCACCGCAUCAGGUCCCCGAGGUGAACAGCCUCUGCUCUAUAUGAAAAAUGCAGGUAAGGGAAGUCGGCAAAUUAGACCCGUAACUUUGGGAAAAGGGUUGGCUCUAGUGCUGCGUGGGAGUGGUUGUCGGACGUUGGCGUUUCUGGCAUGGCAGCUUGGCGCGGGACCCUCACGGGACUUGCUCCGGCAGCCAGGCUGGUUUCACCACGGCCGACGACGCCCACAGCAUGCAGCAGACUAGAACUGCAACGGGCAAAGGGAAUCCGACUGUUUAAUUAAAACAAAGCAUUGCGAGGGCCGUGGCCGGUGAUGACGCAAU
rnacentral:rRNA from 1 species